CUCCAUGAUGGAUCACUUCCCGAUGUCAUGAAUGAGUUAUCAUCAUUGCAAGUUUUAAAUCUAAGUGGAAACAAUUUUAUUGACGUACCAUCUGGCCUUAUUUUCAAUCUUUCAAAGCUUAGGGCUAUUGCCCUCGCUUAUUGCCCAAGGCUUCAGUCUUGGCCACAAUUUCCUUCAAAUUUGUCAUUUAUAAUUGCAAAUGGUUGUUCAUCAAUGAAAUAUUGCAGAAGUUCACGGCAUGAUGGGAUUUCAUUGGAUCAUUUCAACCCCAGGUUCGCAACCAUUUGAAUAUCAAGCCUGCAAUUAUACAAUGGGACUCAAAAGUUCGUGAGUUCUUCUUGGAACGUACUCGCGUAUUGAUGAUUCAUGGUACCGAAGUGCCAUCAUGGUUUUAUAACCAAAACUACUUUUGUGAGAAAGAA